GUACUUGAUUUGGCAGCACAUACACUAAAACUGAAAUGAUACAGAGGUUAGCAUGUCCCUGUGCAGGGAUGACAUGAUAAUUUGCAAAGUGUUCCAUAUUUUU